rnacentral:rRNA from 1 species
GUGGCAGACGGGUGAGUAUAAUGUGGGAAUCUGCCUUUUGGUUUGGAAUAACACGAGGAAACUUGUGCUAAUACCGGAUAAGCCUUCACAGGGAAAGUUUUAAUGCCAAAAGAUGAGCCCGCACUUGAUUAGCUAGUUGGUAAGGUAAUGGCUUACCAAGGCAACGAUCAAUAGCUGUUCUUAGAGGAAGACCAGCCACAUUGGGACUGAGACACGGCCCAAACUCCUACGGGAGGCAGCAGUGGGGAAUCUUGCACAAUGGGGGCAACCCUGAUGCAGCGAUGCCGCGUGAGUGAAGAAGGCCUUUGGGUUGUAAAACUCUUUCGUCGGGGAAGAAAAUGACUGUACCCGAAUAAGAAGGUCCGGCUAACUUCGUGCCAGCAGCCGCGGUAAUACGAAGGGACCUAGCGUAGUUCGGAAUUACUGGGCUUAAAGAGUUCGUAGGUGGUUAAAAAAGUUGAUGGUGAAAUCCCAAGGCUCAACCUUGGAACUGCCAUCAAAACUUUUUAGCUAGAGUAUG